rnacentral:lncRNA from 1 species
UUGAGUCUUAGUUGAAAAAAAAAAAAGUACUGUUCAUCUCGGGUACUGUUCACACAGAAUUUCAAUUUAGUAUUUUGGUCAGUUUCUUAUAAAAAAAAAGUUACUGUUCACGCCCAAAAAAAAAAUAUAUAUUUCUCGUUUUUUUUUUUUUUUUUUUUGCUGCUGCUAAAAAAAAAAAAUAAAAAUUGUGGUGUUGUUCCACAAAUCCCAAACCCUAACAUUCAAGCCAAUUUAGCCCAACUAACCCAGCCUACUCUUUACGACCCAGGCCCACUCUCCAAACACUAACCCCAGCUGGCCCAUCUCUAUAACAGGAUCCAAACCCCUUCCCAUCUGGCCUAGUCCCAAAUAUCCGACCAAACCCGAUUAUAACCAAUCCAUUAACAUCAAAUACCCCACAGUUUCACUCGAUUCCUCUCUCACAACCACUCUCUUGCUGUCAUCGCCUUUAAUCACCAUCACGCUACUACUUCAUUAUCUAUUAUACCCAGGCAUCUAGAGCACUGCCGCUUCAUUGCCAUAGACCACCACCACCAACCAAAGAUCAUACACUUCCACCACAGUUACCACACUCAUAUAUUUCCUCGUCCAUCUCAACAAUCUAAAAGUCACAAUCACCACACUCAAUUUUACGUCCACACCAGAGCCAGCACAAGUUACAGUCAGCAGAGGUUAAAACCAUUGGACACGAAUGGAAGAACAGAAGUAUAGUUGAGGCUUAUAAGUCGGCAAUUCAGGUCAAGCGGCAUACAAAUAAUCAAAACUAAACAACAGGGAGUCCUUGAUCUCUAUUUAGUAUUGGUUUAUACUACUGCUUCAUUUUUAAAAUUGCAUCAAUUAAAAUCUUAUGCCGCUGUUAUUAUGAUAAUUUUAGCCUUAAAUCUCACUUGAUCAAAACCAUUAAUCGAAUUAACACUAGUAACCGAAAUGACUUCCAUUGUUCCCCACUUAAAUUGAUUGGAGAAUUUGACUAAUGUUGACCCUUGUUUUACCAUUUUACAUGUACUAGCAGUAUUAGCUUGUUUUGGAU